GCCCAGAUAUAUAUCUCUUUAUAAAUCUCCUCUUUGAGAUAAAAUAAAUUGACUUGUAUGUAAAAUUUUGUAACUUUGCAUAAUCCAAUCUGCCUAAUGCAACACAUUUAACUCUACUUGAUCUGCAUCAUCCUGAGAUGCUAUCCAUUCUGCUCUGUUUCGAGGCAAGUAUAGAUUGGGUAUAGAUAAUGAUCUAUUUGAUUUAUAUUCAAAAGGUUUCCAUCAUUGGUUAUUGUUUCAAAAUAUGCUUCAAAGAUUAUAUGG
rnacentral:lncRNA from 1 species